UACGAAGGGGGCUAGCGUUGCUCGGAAUCACUGGGCGUAAAGCGCACGUAGGCGGCUUUGUAAGUUAGAGGUGAAAGCCCGGGGCUCAACUCCGGAACUGCCUUUAAGACUGCAUCGCUUGAAUCCAGGAGAGGUGAGUGGAAUUCCGAGUGUAGAGGUGAAAUUCGUAGAUAUUCGGAAGAACACCAGUGGCGAAGGCGGCUCACUGGACUGGUAUUGACGCUGAGGUGCGAAAGCGUGGGGAGCAAACAGG
rnacentral:rRNA from 1 species